rnacentral:lncRNA from 1 species
GCUCCAUUAGUUCAGGGGAUUUCUUACAUGUGUGUGGCUUAAAAAUCACCUUAGUGUUCAUAUACUAAUUUUGGCGCAGACCAUUUAAGUUGAUAUUGUUCAUAUCCUAUUUAAGUUUUGUGUCACAAUUUUAGACAUAACUUGAAAUAAUUUCUGACACUGUAACCAUGUUUAAAUAUCCUGGAAACAUCGCAAAUUAUAUAAGGCACAUAAUUAAAGAGAUAACAUAUUUACAUUCUCGGGCUCUAGUUAUAGUUCAGUAGCAGCACAAAUAAUUUUGUAUCUGAAUCCGAAAGAUCUUAGAGAAAAAGAUGGUCAACAUGAAACUCGACUAGGCCUGGGAGAAAAAACACUGACAGCUAAUCUUGAUUUGCAAACCGUGACUGAGCUCGUCCUUAUAAACGACACAACUGAUACAGCCACUGAUUUCACUCUAACAGCAGCCCUGUUAAGUUUCCGCGACUUGAGCAUUUUUCUUGAAGACAUUUCACCUGAUCCUAAAUUGUAACUCUGAAGGUAAAUCAGCCUUUUCUUCGCUCUGUCACGCUUAUAACUCAAACCCUUGGUUUCAUUAUCCACACUUGUCACCUUUCGCCGCGAAGUGGUUAAAUUCUGGCGGUAAUCAUCUUCUGCAAAACUCUGAUCAAGAGGCUCGUAUGAGGCCUGCAGGUCAGCCCUUCUGCGGCUGAAGCGCAAUGUGGUGUUUUUUACAAGGGAAUUCAUGGUUGGUUUGGUGAAGUGAAGAUGUUGAGUAUUGAUUUUAUAGGCUAAGUGUGGAGUAUGUGGUUUUCUUUGUGAUAUUUAAAUGGCCGUAUGCUUUUUAUGUAUGUAUGAACCGUGAGUAGGAUUCAACUAAAAAAUAUUUAGUGUGAUUGAACACGUUUUGACUGUUAUCUUGAUUUUUUCCGUUGUUGGUAGGCGCAAAAAUCUUCAGAAAAAUCCAAGUCAACUACUUCAACAACCUGGAGUUUUCUGCCUAGCUACCCCAUGGCCGCCUUCACAACAAAUUUUAGUAAUACUGGUACCACACACUCGAUUUUAGAUUCCCUGAGAGUGGCUGAAUAGGAUUUGAAGAAAUAUCGAAAAAAAAGGUUUAUAAUGUAUAAAGGAUGUUAAUGUUAAGGAUCAUCUUGUUUGUUGUAGAAAUGGACAUUUGUAUUAGUAGGUGUUUUAAAGAUUUCCGAUUUGUUUUUAAAAAAUAUUUUAUCAAUUUAUUGUUGAUUAUAUUCUGAUUAUUAACCAAUCAUGAUAUCAGCAAAUAAAAAAGGCUGAAUUUUUGUUAAUUAAGUAAAGAAAAGUUGCGCAAUGUUCUAAAGAAAAAGUUAGCAGCUGACUAGCCUGUCUUUCCAACAAAUCCAGUAGCUCUCAGCUUUUUGGUAUAAAUAAUAAAAACGGCAGUUAGUACUCUGGAUGAUCUUGGCUCGAAAAGCAAGUCUUAUCUGCUUCUCAAUGUCUGAAUAUAUAUUACUGUAUUUUUAAUAAGUGUGUCUGGAUGAAAUCAUCGAGACCGUUUGACCAAAUUUAAAAAAAAAAAAAGUUUUUAUUAUUUAUUAAAAUAAAGAAGAUUAUAAGUGAAAAGUGAUUUGAGUUACAAAUUAUUAAAAGUGUUUGUGUAACACCCCAGUCUCACACCGAGUCUUGUGGAGACUUUGGUUCAGUUUAUAAGCAUAAGUACUACUACCAAUUGCACCAACAAAUCAUAAUCUUUUGGGGGUCUGUAGUGGGCUUGUGGAUUACCCAAGCUGUUGCGAUUGAGCCAAUAUAUUUAGGCUUAUUUUCGGAUUCCCACGAAGGCUGGUGGUAUUAUCCCGCAAUGGGCAGAGAUCCAGAAGCGGGGACACGAAGACAGCCGGUAUUAUCCCACAAUGGCUAGAGAGGUUCGAUCUACGAACCUAGGCCUGUGGGCUAUCCGUUUCGGCCUGACAAGAGUGGGGGAGUUUGUAACAUCCCAGUCCCACAUCGAGGAGACUUUAGUUCAGUGCUCUAACAAAUCAUGAUCUUUUGGGGGCCUGUGGUGGGCUUGUGGAUUACCCAAGUUGUUGCAAUUGGGCCCGUAUAUUUAGGCUUAUUUUCGGAUUCGGAAUUCGGGACUUGACCCGAUUUUCAGAAAAAGACUCGGGAUUUGACCCGGGUUGUUUCAGUUUGUAUAAUAUUAUUUAUAAGUGAAUUGAGUAUUUGGUAAUUUAAAUUUAUUAAUUGAAAUAAAAUUCAAAUUAGUAAAAUUGAAUUAUUUAUUAAUAAAUUAAAUUUAUUGCACAAUAAAAAUUUAAACUUCUAUAAUAAAUUACUAAUCACUAAAAAAUGCAUUUCUCACUUCAAAAUCCAAAACAAUCUUUUGCCAAACAACGAGUAACAAGAAGCAAAGUUGAGGUGCUACCAGAAGCUCGUUACCAACCAGGCCCUAUACAUGUGUUUUAAAAUAAAUAAAUUUAAGAGAUGAAAAAUUGUACAGAUUAUACAAUUGUUAACAAUAGAUUUUACUUUAAUUUUUUUUUUUUAGAGAGAUUUUACUUUAAUUCUGUUUAAACUAUAGCAAUUGAUAUAUAAAAAAACAGAAUUACAGGAAUUCGAACAUCAGCAUCAUCAGUUCAUCACGCAAUGAGUCAUGAGAUUUGAAUCGAAUAAAAUAAGAGUAUUACUGUAAGCUUUAGGUGGAUAUAAAUGAGGAUUUUUAAUACUCCCUCCGUUUCAAAUUAGAUGUCCACUUUUAAAAAAUCACACAGUUUAAGAAAACUAGUUGAACACAAAUUAAUUGCAUUAAAUGAGCAUAAUAUGUGGUGUGAGAUUGAUCUAGGAAAUAUAAAUAAGAGAUCUGUGGAGGAGAAUUGACUUAGGAAAUAUGAUUUUGCAUUGAAAGUUGAAGUGGACAAGUAAUUUGAAACAAAAAAUUUUCUUGAAAAUGGACAUGUAAAUUGAAACGGAGGGAGUAGAAAAGAUGCACUGGCAAUGAUGCCCACGUGGGGCGCGCCAACUGGAUAUAUAACCGACGUGGCAGCUGCUCGAGAACUUAAUGGGAAUCGUGGUGACUCAUGGGAAGAUCUGAACAAUUUUUUAAUUCGGACAUUGUUGUUGACUAGGAAUCAACUGAAACUGCAAAAUGGAAAUCCACAACUCAAUUCGUCUCUACUUAUCUCUCAAGGGAUUAAUUUAGAAAAUCUUUAACUUACAUAAAAAACAAAAAUAGAAAAUCUCUUAUCAGCCUGCUAAUUCUAAAGAGAGAUAUGUUAAUUUUUUUAGAAGAUAAUUUAAAAUUUUGAUGGCAUGUACUACUUUAUUUAUUACUAUAAUAAAAUAAAAGUUAAUUUUAAAGGAACAAGAAAAGAGGGACGAGGCGAUAUUAAUUUAUUUGCUUGCUAUUUUAUCUGUAUCACUGUCUAACAAUUUUUUUUAUGGGUUAAUUAUCAAGUUGGUCACUGAAGUGGGCUUAAUGUAUCAAGUUGGUCACUGAAUUCAAAACGGUAUCAAGAUAGUCACUGAAGUGGCCAUAAUUAUCAAGUAAGUACUUUGAAAUAUGAGUUCAAGUAGUAAAAAUAUUAUUUAUAAAGUUUUACACAUUAUUUUUAAAUGUUAGCACAGCCAACUAAAAGGUUAUGCCUUCUAUUAUUUAAAAUAAUAUAUUUAUAUUUUAUCAAGUUUAUUUAUUAUUUAUAUUUUAUUAUAUAGUUAUUUAUUUGUUUUAAUUAAAAAUAAAUAAUAAAUAAACUUGAUAAAAUCAAAAUAUAUUAUCAUAAAUAUUAGAAGUCGUAACCUUUUACUUGGUUUUGGUAUAAUUUAAAAAUAAUGUGUAAAACUUUAUAAAUAAUAUUUUUACUGCUUGAACUUAUAUUUCAAGGUACUUGUUUGAUAUUUAUGGCCACUUCAGUGACCAUCUUGAUACCGUUUUGAGUUCAGUGACCAACUUGAUAAUUAACCUUUUUUUUUAUUAGGUGGUGGUUUUUGAUUGGUGUAAUUUUUUGUGUAUGCACUGGGACCAUCAUUAUUAAUGGGAUGAGAAUUAAUAAAAAUCUACCAUCUAGCUAAAAAGUGAUUGUUAAUAUGUGCCAGAAAAUCCGCUUUUUUAAUACUCCCUAUGUUCAACCAUUUCUUUACCUUUUCCUUUUUGAGAAGUUUAAUCCAAUUUUUGGCAUUUAAAAACUUAUGAAAAAUAGUCAAUGGUUCCCACUAUUUCUCCAUCUUUCAUUCUUUUCACACUACUUUUACUUCACUAUCUUCUUUUUAAACAUUAAAAAUCAAUAGGUCUCACCACUUCUCCCGUUUUUGUUUCCUUUUCCANCUGUAUUGAAUUGUUGAAGAGAAGAUAUUAAAAAAAUUGGCAAUCGUCUCUUUUAUAUAUAUAUAUAUAUAUAUAUAUAUAUAUAUAUAUAUAUAUAUAUAUCUUAACUUUCUUGUCCAACCCAUUAGAUAAGAAAUGGGAAGGACGGAGAGAGUAUAUACACUCUAAUAACAAAAAAUUACAAGAAUUAAUAUAAUGUCCUACACUCAUGAAGUUAUACAUAUCGAACCAUGAUAUGCAUUUUGUAAAGUAUCUUCUUGAUAACUAUAUAAUUUAAUAAAUUGUAAAUUAAAAAUGUCAUACUACACAAAUGCUGGCAACCUUUUGAGGUUACUCUUAAUUUCAAUAUCCAUCAUAUUAUUACUAAAUAUAUGAUGAACAUAGUUGCAUCCAUGCACAAAAAUUUCAUAUCACCAAUCACAAUAUUGAAAUGACAUAGUAUUUUUAAUAUCUUCUGAUAAUGUUGACAUACUAUAUUUAAAAAGUAACUAAUUAUUAUAACCAACUUCACUAAAAUACAUCAUCGUAGAACAUCUACAACCCUAUUGGCUAUAUACACAUAUACUCAAAGAAAAUUGACUAUAAUAAUUGAUUAUAUUUUCGAAAUGUUAUGCUAUUAUUAUUUCAACUUGUUGAAAUAGUGAUCUCUUCGAUCAAUUAUAACUACAAAUCUACUAAUUUAUGUCGUAUAAUCUCGUAUCACGAUAAGCAAUUAUUUUAGUGAUUUUUAUAUUCUUAAUGAGAUCAUAACAAUAAGAUAUAAGUUGUGUUACGAUGAAUACAUAAGAAUUUAACACAAAUUACAGAUCCUUUCAAUAAUACGCUUUUCGUUGCGAAAUUUCUUCAUCUUUGAUAAUGUAUGGAGCAUUUCUUCACUAUUUAUUUUCAUUUAGUGAAAAUUACAAGUGAUUAACCAGAUCUAAUGAAUUAAAUAAUGAAGAAAAUGCUCCAUGGAUUACCAACUUGAAAAUAAACACUAAAGAUAUAAAAUAUAUUGCAAAAGAUAUAUGUAUAGAGAACUUAAGAUAUUUUUGAAGAGAUGAGUGUAUAUGAUUAUAUAUAUAGAGAGAGGAUGGACGGAGAAAACAAUGACAAUUAAACAGUUAUGAGUAUGUAACGGUUGGGCGAAGAAAAUAAUAAGAAUUCAAUAGUUACAUAUCUGUAACGGAUAUGAAAAAUGAAUAAAUUAAUUAAUGAUUACAACUGUACAAAGGACAAACAUAAAUAUAAUUAAUGAUUGAAUAUCUAAUUAAUAAAUAUAAGGGAUGUAUUCAAUUGGGAUUUUAAAAGACUUUUUUUAUUCAUGAAAUCUAAGAGUAUUCGAUUGGGAUUGUUUAAAAUUCAUUAAAAUCUGAGGGUAUUCAAUCAGGAUUUUAAAUUAUGCUUAAAAGUGGUAUUCAAUUGAGAUUGUUUAAAAUCCAUUAAAAUUUGAUGGUAUUCAAAUGCUGAUGGAUUUUUUUGAAUUUCAUAAAUGAUGGAUUUUGUGGGAUUUCUCGGUGUAUUUUAAGUUUUUUGAAAUCGCACCAAAAUCAAUGAGAUUUUGAAAUAUUAUACUUAAAUCCUAAAGAAUCUUUAUCAACUAUGCGAUAUUUUAUCAAGAAUCCGCACAAAAUCAAAAUAACAUACAAUCCAUUAAAAUUCAUAGCAUAAAAAUAAUCAAUUAAAAUCUCAAUCGAAUACCCUCCACAAUGUUUAUCUCAGUGACUUUAGCGAGAUACAUAUGUGAAUGUAUCAUUAGAGCAUCUCCAACCAUCUAAAACCCUUGGCUAAAAGGUGAGUUGGCAUACUUAAAAUAAAAAAAUUUAGCCAACAGCUCCAAAAACUCAACUCCAACCAUGCUCAGCUGUUAUCUAUAAAUUUAGCCAACCUCCUAUGGAUGGCUAAAUUUGUCGAACCUCUACAGGUCUGUAAGAAAAUCUGUAGGAAGAUUGUACAUCAUUUAUUACCAUAUUGAACUGAUAUAUUCUAUUUUAACAAUUUAAAAUAUUAAUAACAUACUAUUUUUAAAUUAUAGCCAACCAAUAUAGCCAGUACCAUUGAAACAAAAUGUGUUACACGUUCAGCAAAUUUUACAUAAUGUCUUACAGGUCCAAUUUAGCCAACGAUUAUAGCCAACGCCGUUGGAGUAUAUGAAUCACCUGUCAUAUUUAUUUAAUUUAAUGCGAUAGAUUUUUUAUAGCAAAAAUCUUUGUUUGUUAUCUUGAAUUAAAUUUACUAUAUUCAAAAUACAACUGAUAAUAUAUAUAUAUUUUUGUCAUAAAACGAUUAUAUUAAACCAAGAUAAGUUACAAUCCGGAUGAACAGAAUUUUCUUCAUUCAAGAAUGUAUAUCAUAUAACCGAAAGGAUGUAAAUACUCCGGAAGCUUAGAUAACAUAGUCUUUUAAGUCAGAAGAGAUAACGCAUAAAAAAAGGCCUCGUUAAAAACUCGAGGGGGAAAAGAGUGCCCUACAAAAUUACAUCGUUUACAAAAUAAACUAUAAACUAAUAUCUUCCUUAUUUCCUUCUAUCAAUAUUUAUCCAUAAAAUACGAGUGAAUUUGAAAAAAUUUCUUAAAAUCUCUUUCAAAUAUCUUGAAAAUAAGACAGAUUCAAAUAAAAAGAAUACCAGUGAAUUUGAAAAAAAAUUAAAACAAAUACAUAAAUGAGUCAAUAUUAUAGCACAAUUAUCUCCCAAUUAGCACCCUUCUUUUCCGUCCCUUCUAAAUCUUUCUACCACCACCAUCGAUGUUAAGAUCUUGGAAGUUCCCUAAUAAUAUAUUUGAGAUUGAACAAUUUAGAAUUAGAUAUCCAAUCAUUCAUUAUUUCUACGUAUGUCCGUUGUACACUUGUUAUUAUUUUAUCCACAUCCGCUAUAAAUGUUAGAAUUUUUAUUAUUUACUCUUCUAUGGCACCAUCAAAGAUUUCUUCUUCUGUUCUUGGUCAAAAUCUGACCAGACGUAUUUCAAAAGAUAUAGAAUAAUUUGGACAGAGGCUCCAUCAGUUCAGGGGAUUUCUUACAUGUGUGUGGCUUAAAAAUCACCUUAGUCUUCUAAUACUAAUUUUGACGCAGACCAUUUAAGUUGAUGGUGUUCCUGUUCAUGUCUAAUGUAAGUUUUGUGUCACAAAUUUAGACAUAACUUGAAAAAUUUCAUACAAGCCGUCGAUUCUGAUACUGUAACCAUGUUUAAAUAUUCUAGAAACAUCGCAUAUAUAUUGUAGAAGGCACAUAAUUAAAGAGAUAACAGUAUUUACAUUCUCGGGAUCUAACAAUCAGCAAUAGUUAUGGUUUAGCAAAAAGAUGGUCUAACAUGAAACUCGACUAUGCCUGGGAGAAAAAACACUGACAGCUAAUCUUGAUUUACAAACCGUGACUGAGCUCAUCCGUAUGAACGACACAACU